rnacentral:lncRNA from 1 species
AGAUGCAAAAUUUUAAUCUCAAGGAGCUUGCAGAAAUAAAAGUUCUUUUAAAAGAAGUUAUAGAAAUUAAGUUUCAGGCUACUGGGGCUAAGUUGCUAGAAUCAGUGGACGAAGUGGUUACACUGGAUAAUAAUCUUAAAGAUUAAACCGAGUAUACUAAAUAGCUUGACAGUUUGAAAAAAAUUGGUGGCGGAAAGCCAAGAGAACAUGUUUUUUGAUCAUGAAAAGGUUAUUUUCGAUCAGUUACAGUCCAAAUUAAAUC